ACUGAUCUGUUUACUGCACACACUGCAAAACAGCACAACUUAAUGACAUUGGAACAAUCACAUUUGCCAUGUCAUGGUCUCCUAGCAACUAACAGAGAUUGCAUCCCAAAGGAUCCCAAAGUUAUUUACACAUCAGAAAGGAUCCAUCUCAUCUUCCAUUGAAGGGCACACCCACCAGGAGGAAGUGUGGCAGCCAUUCUGUGCCAGCAACCCCAGUGCGCAGCUGAUUGUGGAAAGAGAUGUUCCUUUACAAGAUCUGCUGCUUCAGACUUAAAGGCUCUGCUCUUUUCUCCUAAAAGCUGGACCCCAUGAACUUUUUUUACUGUUUCAGCUG